rnacentral:misc_RNA from 1 species
GGAAGUAAAAGUCGUAACAAAGUUUCCGUAGGUGAACCUGCGGAAGGAUCAUUCAUAAUAAGUGUUUUACUGCACUUUUUAAAAAUAGUACUCACCUUGUGUGCAAUGUUGUGUUUCUUUUCGGAGAAACACCUACACCAACCUAUAACCUUGAACCACUUUGUCUGAAAAACUAUUAUGAAUACUUAAUUCAAAAUACAACUUUCAACAACGGAUCUCUUGGCUCUC